rnacentral:rRNA from 1 species
UACAGAGGUCUCAAGCGUUGUUCGGAUUCAUUGGGCGUAAAGGGUGCGUAGGCGGCGCGGUAAGUCGGGUGUGAAAUCUUGGAGCUUAACUCCGAAACUGCAUUCGAUACUGCCGUGCUUGAGGACUGGAGAGGAGACUGGAAUUUACGGUGUAGCGGUGAAAAGCGUAGAUAUCGUAAGGAAGACCAGUGGCGAAGGCGGGUCUCUGGACAGUUCCUGACGCUGAGGCACGAAGGCCAGGGGAGCAAACGGG